rnacentral:rRNA from 1 species
UACGGGGGGGGCAAGCGUUGUUCGGAAUUACUGGGCGUAAAGGGUGCGUAGGCGGGUCUUUAAGUCAGGGGUGAAAUCCUGGAGCUCAACUCCAGAACUGCCUUUGAUACUGAGGAUCUUGAGUUCGGGAGAGGUGAGUGGAACUGCGAGUGUAGAGGUGAAAUUCGUAGAUAUUCGCAAGAACACCAGUGGCGAAGGCGGCUCACUGGCCCGAUACUGACGCUGAGGCACGAAAGCGUGGGGAGCAAACAGG